GUGGGGAAUCUUGCGCAAUGGGCGAAAGCCUGACGCAGCCAUGCCGCGUGAAUGAUGAAGGUCUUAGGAUUGUAAAAUUCUUUCACCGGGGACGAUAAUGACGGUACCCGGAGAAGAAGCUCCGGCUAACUUCGUGCCAGCAGCCGCGGUAAUACGAAGGGGGCUAGCGUUGCUCGGAAUUACUGGGCGUACAGGGCGCGCAGGCGGACAGCUUAGUCAGAGGUGAAAGCCCAGGGCUCAACCUUGGAAUUGCCGUUGAUACUGGCUGUCUUGAGUUUGGGAGAAGUGAGUGGAACUCCGAGUGUAGAGGUGAAAUUCGUAGAUAUUCGGAAGAACACCAGUGGCGAAGGCGACUCACUGGCCCAAUACUGACGCUGAGGCGCGAAAGCGUGGGGAGCAAACAGGAUUAGAAACCCUAGUAGUCC
rnacentral:rRNA from 1 species